CCCGGCACAAGCGGUGGAGCAUGUGGUUAAUUCGAUGCAACGCGAGAACCUUACCUGGGUUUGACAUAUAGGUUGUAGGGAACUGAAAAGGGACCGACCCUUCGGGGAGCCUAUACAGGUGUUGCAUGGGCUGUCGUCAGCUCGUGUCGUGAGAUGUUCGGUUAAGUCCGCUAACGAGCGCAACCCUCGUCGUAUGUUAUAUGUGUCAUACGAGACUGCCGGUAAAAAGCCGGAGGAAGGUGAGGAUGAUGUCAAGUCAGCAUGACCUUUAUAUCCAGGGCUACACACACGCUACAAUGGUCUGUACAAUGGGUAGCCAAGCCGCGAGGCGGAGCCAAUCCUGAAAGCAGGCCUCAGUUCAGAUUGCAGUCUGCAACUCGACUGCAUGAAGCCGGAGUUGCUAGUAACCGCAGGUCAGCAAUACUGCGGUGAAUACGUUCCCGGGUCUU
rnacentral:rRNA from 1 species